rnacentral:sRNA from 1 species
GCUGGGUGUUGUGGCACAUUCCUGUAAUCCCAGCUGCUCGGGAGGCUGAGGCAGGAGGAUUACAAGUUUAAGGCUAGUUUGGAUAACUUAGUAAGGUCCUGUCUCAA